rnacentral:rRNA from 1 species
GAUGAACGCUGGCGGCGUGCCUAAUACAUGCAAGUCGAGCGAACAGACUAUGAGCUUGCUCCUCUGAAGUUAGCGAAGGAGGGGUGAGUAACGGGUGGAUACCCUACCUAUAAGUCUGGGAUAACUUCGGAAAACCGGAGCUAACACCGGCUAAUAUAUUAAAAUGCCAGGUACAACAGUGAAAGUGGGUUAUGGGGGCCUUUACAGAUGGAUUCGCGCGGCCUUCGUUAGUUGGGAAGGUAACGGCCUACCAAGGCAACGAAGCCUAGCCGACCUGGGAGGGUGGUCCGCCAACCUGGGACUGGGACCCGGCCCAAGACCCUACGGGGGGCAGCAGUAGGGGAUCUUCGGCAAUGGGGGGAAGUCCUACCGAGCCACGCCGGCUGGGGUGAGAAGGUUUUCGGAUCGUUAAACUCCGUUGUUAGAGGAGAAAAAGAAUUGGAAUUAAAAGUGCAUCCCUUGACGGUACCUAAUCAGAAAGCCACGGCUAACUACGUG